CGGGGCUUAAAGUCUUGUAAUUGGAAUGAUGGGAAUUUAAACCUCUUCCAGAGUAUCAAUUGGAGGGCAAGUCUGGUGCCAGCAGCCGCGGUAAUUCCAGCUCCAAUAGCGUAUAUUAAAAUUGUUGCAGUUAAAAAGCUCGUAGUUGAAUUUCUGCUGCAUCGCUGUGUCCCUUCGGGGUCUCUGCAUGUGGCUUAUUUCAGACGGAGUUCGCUUUGUCUGGAUGUUUACUUUGAGAAAAUUAGAGUGCUCAAAGCAGGCUUUUGCCUUGAAUAGUUUAGCAUGGAAUAAUAAAGUAGGACUUUGGUUCUAUUUUGUUGGUUUUAGGUACCAAAGUAAUGGUUAAUAGGAACAGUUGGGGGCAUUCGUAUUUAACUGUCAGAGGUGAAAUUCUUAGAUUUGUUAAAGACGAACUACUGCGAAAGCAUUUGCCAAGGAUGUUUUCAUUAAUCAAGAAC
rnacentral:rRNA from 2 species